UAAAAAACGGCGACAAGAGAUAUAGAGGAAAUUUCCACAUGAUGUUGACAAAGACCUGCUCUAUUUUUAAAAUGAAGAUAUAUAUACUGACAUAUAGUGUACAUGUACCUUGAAGAUUUGUCCCCCUUGUAAAUACAAGAAAUGCAAAGUAUACACAGAUAUAUACAUACACAUAAAAGGAGACAUCAUCUCAUGAUCUGUGGAUCCAUUGAAAACUUUAAGGACAAAACUGUUGAUAAUUCAUUCAUGUAAAGAGUGUUGACUUGAAUAUUGAAUAUCUAAAUGGAACUAAGUUAGAGAAUUAAUUUAAUAAGUAUUAUAUUGUAUAUUACUCUUUUUAUUCAUCUGUCAAAUUUCUUAAUUAGAAAU